ACGUAGGUGGCAAGCGUUGUCCGGAUUUAUUGGGUUUAAAGGGUGCGUAGGCGGUCUUCUAAGUCAGUUGUGAAAUACUUCAGCUUAACUGGAGAGGUGCAAUUGAUACUGGAAGACUUGAGUACUGAUGAGGUAGGCGGAAUGGACGGUGUAGCGGUGAAAUGCUUAGAUAUCGUCCAGAACACCGAUAGCGAAGGCAGCUUACUAAGGAGUAACUGACGCUGAGGCACGAAAGCGUGGGGAUCAAACAGGA
rnacentral:rRNA from 1 species